CAGAGAUUUUUAAAACUGAUGUCAUUAUACUGAGAAUAGAAAAUAUCUACCUGAAAGAUUGAAAAUUACAGUAGGAACAGAAGGUGAAGUGUCAUUUUCUUUGAUUGUGGAUGGAGGGAAUGACAAGGGAGGAACCUCUUGAGAUGACAGCCUGACAGCCUUUAAAUCAAGGAGGAUCUCUUUCCUAGCAAGCAUGAAGAUUAAACAGACUAAUGAAUCAAUGUUUUAGACCAUCCACUCCUGGGAGAACACAUCAGAGUCCCAUCAACAAUGGUCAAGUCGGGGAACAUUCUUUCCUGUCAACUGGCAAGUCUCCUGUUGUAUUGAAAGUCUUGUUCUUCUCUGGGAAAUGACUCUAUUUAAUGGAGACAGAUGUCACUCCACAUAAUUUUUUUUUUUUUUUUUGCGGUACGCGGGCCUCUCAGUGUUGUGCCCUCUCCCGUUGCGGAGCACAGGCUCCGGACGCGCAGGCUCAGCGGCCAUGGCUCACGGGCCCAGCCGCUCCGUGGCACGUGGGAUCUUCCCGGACCGGGGCACGAACCCGUGUCCCCUGCAUCGGCAGGCGGACUCUCAACCACUGAGCCACCAGGGAAGCCCACUCCACAUAAUUUGAUAGUUCUUCACCAGGAUCCAAGAGAUAAUUUGAAGACCAUCAAGGCCCACAGAAAAAAAUCCAUCAUCCAUCUCCCUCUGAAAAAGAAGGUGUUUCUGCCACCACCAAUAAGGGACACCUUUAGUGUUAUCGAGAGUGGUCACAAAGCACCGAGCUGAUCUCCCUGUGCCAUGGGGCUGCUUCCCACUAGCUAUCCACCUGGAGUCUGUCAUACAGAGUGAAGUAAGUCAGAAGGAGAAAAACAAAUACCGUAUGCUAACACCUAUAUAUGGAAUCUAAGAAAAAAAAAUGUCAUGAAGAGCCUAGGGGUAGGACGGGAAUAAAACACAGACCUACUAGAGCAUGGCCUUGAGGAUACGGGGCGGGGGAAGGGUAAGCUGGGACGAAGUGAGAGAGUGGCAUGGGGGCUUGCUUCUUAAACAGAGAAACUCGGGUAUGAAAGCAUCCUUUCUCGUCCUUGAGCGGUGGGGAUGUAAACCAGUCCCAGAAUGUUUCAGAUUAAGGCUAAACGGAACUAGAUUUACAUGAAAGUGACAACGAAUGACUCUGAUUCUACCUUUAUUCCGUCCAAAAUUUCAGUUUGCCUGCUGUACUUCAUGCCGCUGUGAGUGACACUGGUUGUUGAGCCCCCUGUCCCGUAGUCCUUCUCGGGCACCAGAAGUGCUGAAUCGGGCGUCUUUCUCCCGUGUGUCACCCAGCUAUAUUAAUAUAUUAAUAACCUGCCCUUCUUGGGUUGCUUUCUCCUCUUCUGCCCUUGAAUCUAUCUCAUCUUUAAAGCCCGAAGCCUGGUUUCCUUACCUCCACUGUGAUUAUUCUUUCUCGGAACUGCACUGUAGAUUGAGCACAGAUGAGGUGAGUACCUGAUCAUUCUGAGAGUGAUGGAAACAAAACAGAACAGGUCAUUUACACAUUAAAUUGUACCUUUCAUAGAUGACGUGGUGGGGCAGUUUCACCAAUGAAAUCAAGUUCCUGUUACGUCAAUAACUCCUUGAGCAAAACCCAUGACCCCUGGAGUGUACGGGGAGAGUUUCAUCUCUAUAAUGGUUUAGCAUCUUGCCAACUGGUUUAUUUGGGGGUUAUGUUUCAUUGCAGGGGUGUGAUAUGGCAUGGGAGCUGAAUAAUAAAAGAACAGAAGGAAAGGAAACUCCUUGUUUCAAUAGUGGGGUGCUUCUCAAGCAUGGUGCCUGUUGGAAUCAUCUUGAGAGCUAAUGAGGAAGGCAAGAGGACAGGACCAUGGAUAUACAGGAGUCCCCAGAGGAUGCUACACCUCCAAGUAUGCCAGUCAUCUCAAAGCUAACCUCAUGCUUCUAAGUGAGACAGUCUGGGACCUGGGACCUGGGACCCUUUGCUGCAGUGCUUGCAGCUGGACAAACGUCUCCUCCAGCAACAAAAUACAAAGAAAUGAUAAGGGACUAAAAAUAACUGUGUGCGCGCACAGUUGGGACAAAUUAUGAAAAACAAGAUACAAAAAGACCAAAAACCCAACCACCACUUCUGAGGUGUGGGGAGCAAAAGCAGGGUCCUGUGCAUGCAUCUUGCACGCAGCACCGCCAAGGGGGUGGGCAGACCGCCUAAGCCCCCCCUGCGGCCUGUCGCCUGGACCUCACCCCAUUUAAGGGACCAACUCAUCACCCCCUCAGGAGCGAGUAAGGGCAUCUGUUACUUGUUUCCGCUCCCUCCUGCACGGGUCCCAGUAAAGCCUUGCCUGAAUUCCUUGUCUGGACAAGGAAUCAAUUUCCAUUGAUUAACGAGUCCAAGAACCCUGGUCAGUAACAUAAGUGUAAUGAGAACAAAGGUGAAUUAGCACAGGGACCAUAUUAGAUUUAUUGUGGAGACUAAAACAUGCACAUUACUAAAAAAACUCUACUAGAAAUUAGAUUCAUUCUGGCUAUUGUAGGUUCCAGGUAUCUAUCCCAGUGUGAUGUGAUCUGUGAUGUGGGGUGUUGAAUAUCAUCAUAUUUCCACAUGUGUCUUGGCAUUACAAUUCCCUUUUUACUAAUCUAGGAUAAAGUUGACUUAUGGAACCAAAAUACCGCCCAGGACAACUUACUAUGAGCCUGUGGGACUCUGGUAGGAAUCUCACAAGAUUAGUCCAAUUCCUGAUUGGAGAACACAAAGUUUGAAUUAGUAUCUAAAGAUCUAAAUAGAUAUUAAAUUAAAAUUUUAUGUAUAGACAAAUAUGUUUACACAAAUUCAGACCAGUUUCCUUCUUGAAAGAAUUCUCGGGGUUUACAUUUCUCAUGUGCUAGGUAAAUCCAAGAGAAGGUAGCAUUCCCCUGAUUUAUUUCAUCACAAAACAAAUUAUUCAAGGAACAUCUUAUCCAAUGAGGUUCACCUGAGGACUCUUUGGGAAACACCAAUCUAAAUACUAAAAAUGUUAAUAAUAUAUCAUGAGAUAUAACAUUAUUCUAUUUAA